GUUGAAGCAACGCUUAUAACUCAUUCAAGCUCCAGCUGUUGAGACUACUGUAUAUUGGUACGUACGUGCGCUUGUGAAUUUAGUAACAGAGAGAUCAUGGCUUCUGGAAUCAAGAUUUUUCUUUUGCUAGUUGUUCUGUUUGCCGUAGCUAUGGCUAAACCGAGAAAGUAUCACAGAUAUGAGAAAGAAUACGAUGCUAGGCCCAUGAUGGAUGAGGAGCUCGAGAAUGAAAAAAAUUCGGGAUGUGACCCAGACAAACCUCAUUCUGUCUGUAAGGAUGCGUGCAGCAUGUUUGACUUUGGUACUGAAAACGGGGAAUGCCCUGGAAGUGAAGUCUGCUGUAACCCAAUGUAUUACUAAGCAAGUAUGAAGUUGUGGACUGAAAUUCACGAUCGGUUGCCUUAAAGUGGAAUCUUGGAUACCGAGAUACCAAGGAAAAUAUUCAAUUUUUUUUCAAGCUUAAAUUUACAUUUUUAAUUGAUUUAGAAUAAUCCGCCUGUUUAGCGCUACAAGUAAGAUCUAGAUCCCGUUAUUUAGAUUUAACUUAGAACUUAACCUGGAGUUGACGUAAAGGCAUUUAAUAAGGAAUUAAAACUCUUGCAUCUGUAAAACGUGA